GGUGGGGUGUCCGAGUGGUUUAUGGAAAUAGUCUUGAAAACUAUCAGAGGCGCAAGCCUCUCGUGAGUUCGAAUCUCACCCCCACCG
rnacentral:tRNA from 1 species